CUGAUGGAUUUAAUUCUAUGGCUUUGGUAUACAAUUCAAUAGCUUUGUUAUACACUUGAUCUGAAAUGAAAAAGUGGGAUAUAAAACGUAAAAAUGGGACCUCGCACGAGUCUCCUAAUUUGGAAAUUUAUUCGAUUAUCCGCAUUGGAAAAAGAAUUAUUUAACGCUCUUCGAUGGAAAUUUACUUGCACGAUCUCGCGACUCUGUUGCAUUGCGGAGGUUAGUUCGGAGGACACGCACACGUGACUGAACGUGAACAUUAAAUUGGAACGCAUCCAGCGAUUAGUAGCGCAGACGAUGUUGUGAGGCAGUUCUUGUGGAAGGAUAGACAUUUGUUUAAACAUAGUGA